AGGGAUUGCUUGCAAUCCUGAGUAGAGUGGCGCACGGGUGAGUAACACGUAGAUAAUCUACCUUCAAGCCCGGGAUAACUAUUCGAAAGGAUGGCUAAUACCGGAUGAAGUGUUUUGACCCAAGUUGAAACAUGAAAGAUUGCCUAUCCUUGGAAGCAAUUGUUUGGAGAUGAGUUUGCGGACCAUUAGCUUGUUGGUGGGGUAAAGGCCUACCAAGGCAACGAUGGUUAGCUGGUCUGAGAGGAUGAUCAGCCACACUGGAACUGGUACACGGUCCAGACUCCUACGGGAGGCAGCAGUGAGGAAUUUUGCGCAAUGGGGGCAACCCUGACGCAGCAACGCCGCGUGAGUGAAGAAGGCCUUUGGGUCGUAAAGCUCUGUCGACAGGGAAGAAAUUACAAUCAUCCAAUAGGUGUUUGUAUUGACGGUACCUGUAGAGGAAGCACCGGCUAACUCCGUGCCAGCAGCCGCGGUAAUACGGGGGGUGCAAGCGUUAUUCGGAAUUAUUGGGCGUAAAGGGCGCGUAGGCAGUCUUGUCGGUCAGAUGUGAAAGCCCGGGGCUCAACCCUGGAAGUGCAUUUGAAACAGCAAGACUUGAGUACGGGAGAGGAAAGCGGAAUUCCUGGUGUAGAGGUGAAAUUCGUAGAUAUCAGGAGGAACACCGAUGGCGAAGGCAGCUUUCUGGACCGAUACUGACGCUGAGGCGCGAAGGUGUGGGUAGCGAACGGGAUUAGAUACCCCGGUAGUCCACACAGUAAACGAUGUUCACUAGGUGUAUCGGGUAUUAAAAUCUGAUGUGCCCAAGCUAACGCAUUAAGUGA
rnacentral:rRNA from 1 species